ACCAACUACACACACCAUGUACUCUACAUCUCUACUCCUCCUGCUGGCAGCUGCUUCCUAUGUCCACAGUUAUGAACUGACUCAGCCUGCUGCCAUUACAGUCCAGCCAGGCCAGAGUCUCUCCAUCCCCUGUAAGACUUCCUAUUCAGUUACGAGCGAGGAUACAGCUUGGAUCCGACAACCUGCAGGAAAAGCUCUGGAGUGGAUUGGUAUAAUCUGGACUAGUGGGAGCACAACUUACAAUGACAAGUUGAAAAAUAAGUUCAGCAUCUCCAGAGACACUUCUACUAACACAAUAACAAUUCGAGGACAGAAUCUGCAAACUGAAGACACAGCUGUGUAUUACUGCGCAAGUGAUACACUGUGA